GCAGCAGGCGCGCAAAUUACCCACUCCCGGCACGGGGAGGUAGUGACGAAAAAUAACGAUACGGGACUCAUCCGAGGCCCCGUAAUCGGAAUGAGUACACUCUAAACCCUUUAACGAGGAUCAAUUGGAGGGCAAGUCUGGUGCCAGCAGCCGCGGUAAUUCCAGCUCCAAUAGCGUAUAUUAAAGUUGUUGCGGUUAAAAAGCUCGUAGUCGAAUUUGUGUCUCGCGCCGCCGGUUCAUCGUUCGCGGUGUCAACUGGCGUGCCGCGAGACGUCCUGCCGGCGGGCCUGCUCGUAAAAGGGCGGCCCAAUUCAAUCCCGCCGCGGUGCUCUUCGUUGAGUGUCGAGGUGGGCCGGCACGUUUACUUUGAACAAAUUAGAGUGCUUAAAGCAGGCUAAAACUUCGCCUGAAUAAUGAGUGCAUGGAAUAAUGAAACAGGACCUCGGUUCUAUUUUGUUGGUUUUCGGAACCCCGAGGUAAUGAUUAACAGGAACGGAUGGGGGCAUUCGUAUUGCGACGUUAGAGGUGAAAUUCUUGGAUCGUCGCAAGACGGACAGAAGCGAAAGCAUUUGCCAAAAACGUUUUCAUUGAUCAAGAACGAAAGUUAGAGGUUCGAAGGCGAUCAGAUACCGCCCUAGUUCUAACCAUAAACGAUGCCAGCUAGCGAUCCGCCGACGUUCCUCCGAUGACUCGGCGGGCAGCUUCCGGGAAACCAAAGCUUUUGGGUUCCGGGGGAAGUAUGGUUGCAAAGCUGAAACUUAAAGGAAUUGACGGAAGGGCACCACCAGGAGUGGAGCCUGCGGCUUAAUUUGACUCAACACGGGAAACCUCACCAGGCCCAGACACCGGAAGGAUUGACAGAUUGAGAGCUCUUUCUUGAUUCGGUGGGUGGUGGUGCAUGGCCGU
rnacentral:rRNA from 1 species